AGGAUUAUUUUAUAAUAUUCCCCCAAAAAGUCAAAUACGGAGGAGCGCAAAAGAUCUGUCCACACACUAGAGACCUAAAGAAUACAGCUGAGGGCCUGGAUCCCACAGCAGUGUCCCCCUCGAGUCCAGCCAGAGCUCUAGAGUCCACGGCAGUGUCUCAUGCAAGUCCGUAUCGAGGAUCUGCAUCAGGAAGGCCCAACGGCCAGUCGUGGAAGCCAGAAAGUCUGCACCGUGAGGUGAAGGGUCUAUGCGACCAGGCUGAGGGAUCUGCACUGGAGCCCUGACGUGAUGCUCAGGGUGAGGACCCGAGCUCCUCAGAUGAUAACAGCUGAGUUCGUAUCAGGAAAACCAGCCACGGAAAGCUUCUCCAGAAAAAUCAACAGUAUACAGUAUUCCCCUCCAGUUCUCCUUCUACGCACUGGCAACAAUCCUCAGUUUAUGAAAGCAGGAGCUCGGGAUAGGAGGAGCUGAGCAGCAGAGGGCUGCGUGCACACCUCUUCGUGGUCCUCGCCGGCGUGGGGACACUGUCCUGUCCCGGCCUCACCUCGGUCCGCCCAGCCCGGUCUGUGCAGAGAGCGAUCG
rnacentral:lncRNA from 1 species